rnacentral:rRNA from 1 species
CGGCAGGCCUAACACAUGCAAGUCGAACGGUAACAUGGAUUGCUUGCAAUCUGAUGACGAGUGGCGCACGGGUGCGUAACGCGUAUGCAAUCUACCUUUUACAGGAGAAUAGCCCAGAGAAAUUUGGAAUAAUGCUCCAUAAUAUCAUUUAUCAGCAUUGGUUUAUGAUUAAAGCUCCGGCGGUAAAAGAUGAGCAUGCGUUCUAUUAGCUAGUAGGUGAGGUAACGGCUCACCUAGGCUACGAUAGAUAGGGGCCCUGAGAGGGGGAUCCCCCACACUGGUACUGAGACACGGACCAGACUCCUACGGGAGGCAGCAGUGAGGAAUAUUGGACAAUGGAGGAAACUCUGAUCCAGCCAUGCCGCGUGCAGGAUGACUGCCCUAUGGGUUGUAAACUGCUUUUAUAUAGGAAGAAACACUCCCACGUGUGGGGGCUUGACGGUACUAUAUGAAUAAGGAUCGGCUAACUCCGUGCCAGCAGCCGCGGUAAUACGGAGGAUCCAAGCGUUAUCCGGAAUCAUUGGGUUUAAAGGGUCCGCAGGCGGCCUGUUAAGUCAGAGGUGAAAUCCUACAGCUCAACUGUAGAACUGCCUUUGAUACUGAUAGGCUUGAGUUAUUGUGAAGUGGUUAGAAUGUGUGGUGUAGCGGUGAAAUGCUUAGAUAUCACACAGAAUACCCAUUGCGAAGGCAGAUCACUAACAAUAUACUGACGCUCAUGGACGAAAGCGUGGG